rnacentral:rRNA from 1 species
GAAACGGUUUUUCCGCCUAAAGAGAAGCUUGCGGCUGAUUAGCUUGUUGGUAAGGUAAUGGCUUACCAAGGCGACGAUCAGUAUCUGGUUUGAGAGGACGAUCAGACACACUGGAACUGAGACACGGUCCAGACUCCUACGGGAGGCAGCAGUGGGGAAUUUUCCGCAAUGGGCGAAAGCCUGACGGAGCAAUACCGCGUGAGGGAUGAAUGCCUAUGGGUUGUAAACCUCUUUUUUCAGGGAGGAAUCAAUGACGUUACCUGAAGAAUAAGCAUCGGCUAACUCCGUGCCAGCAGCCGCGGUAAGACGGAGGAUGCAAGUGUUAUCCGGAAUCACUGGGCGUAAAGCGUCUGUAGGUGGUUUGAUAAGUCAACUGUUAAAUCUUGAGGCUCAACCUCAAAACCGCAGUCGAAACUAUUAGACUAGAGUAUAGUAGGGGUAAAGGGAAUUUUCCAGUGGAGCGGUGAAAUGCCGUAGAGAUUGGAAAGAACACCCGAUGG